GGGAGCCCUCAGUCUCGGGGCACCCUUAAUAUCUGGGCACCUUUAAUAUCUGGGCACCCUCAGCCUCAGGUCACCCUCAGCCUCAGGGAACCCUCAGUCUCUGGGCACCCUCAGUCUCUGGGCACCCUCAGUCUCCCGGCUCCUCAGGCAGACGGUGGUUAUUUCUGCCGGAGUGAGGAAGGGGCUUUGGCAGCAGUGUUCCCUUCCUCUGGCCUCUUUUCAAGCUCCAGUCAAAACAAGUCUAAUGCCUUUUCUCCACACAGACUUUUUCUCCCUUCUUUGAGGUGGAAAGCAGUCUUCUCUAGGCCGUGAUUUCCUCCUGCCCUUUGCAGCCCUGCAUGAGGGGGUUUGGGGCUUUUCCCUCCCUUUUGGGGGGGACAAAGCAGAAACCACAGGAGAAAAAGUUUAUCAGAGCAAAGAGCACGAAGAAAGAGCAGCACAGUGUUCAGAAAAGUUACUUCAGGAGCCUGCUGCAAGAGGGAAAAGCUGCUGCUCUCCUGUCUGGCUGGAUCUCACAGUAGAGCAGACACAGGUCCCUAAGGAAGGAGCACAGCAGACACUGAACUGGCAAAACACAGAAGAGUGUGCUCAUACAACUGGGCUGUCACGGGUGUUGCUGCAAAGACCUGUGAAAUGGGAUGCCCUUUUCUGGCAACAGACAGGACGUGCCUCUGCCAAGUCCCUCUGCUGGGUUCGACCAGCCUCCAGCCAGCUCCUGCACUUUGACUGCUUGUUUCCUGGAUAGCCCCACCAUUGCCAAAGGU